CCUACGGGAGGCAGCAGUAGGGAAUAUUGCUCAAUGGGGGAAACCCUGAAGCAGCAACGCCGCGUGGAGGAUGAAGGUUUUAGGAUUGUAAACUCCUUUUGUGAGAGAAGAUAAUGACGGUAUCUCACGAAUAAGCACCGGCUAACUCCGUGCCAGCAGCCGCGGUAAUACGGAGGGUGCAAGCGUUACUCGGAAUCACUGGGCGUAAAGAGUGCGCAGGCGGGCUUGUAAGUCAGAUGUGAAAUCCUGUAGCUUAACUACAGAACUGCAUUUGAAACUAUGAGUCUAGAGUGUGGGAGAGGUAGGUGGAAUGCUUGGUGUAGGGGUAAAAUGCGUAGAUAUCAAGAGGAAUACUCAUUGCGAAGGCGACCUACUGGAACAUUACUGACGCUCAUGCACGAAAGCGUGGGGAGCAAACAGGAUUAGAUACCCCUGUAGUC
rnacentral:rRNA from 1 species